GGGCGAAAGCCUGACGCAGCGACGCCGCGUGGGGGAUGAAGCUUCUCGGAGUGUAAACCCCUUUCGUACCCGGCAGCGAAACAGCCCGGCCAAGGGCAUUGGAUCGGUACGGGUAUGAAGAAAGCCCGGCCUAACUACGUGCCAGCAGCCGCGGUAAGACGUAGGGGGCUAGCGUUGUUCGGAAUUACUGGGCGUAAAGCGUAUGCAGGCGGACUUUUAAGUCGGGGGUGAAAUCCCGAGGCUCAACCUCGGAACUGCCUUCGAUACUGGAAGUCUUGAGUCCGGGAGAGGUGAGUGGAACUCCGAGUGUAGAGGUGAAAUUCGUAGAUAUUCGGAAGAACACCAGUGGCGAAGGCGGCUUCACUGGCCCGGUACUGACGCUGAGAUACGAAAGCGUGGGGAGCAAACA
rnacentral:rRNA from 1 species